AACGACUCUCGGCAACGGAUAUCUCGGCUCUCGCAUCGAUGAAGAACGUAGCGAAAUGCGAUACUUGGUGUGAAUUGCAGAAUCCCGUGAACCAUCGAGUCUUUGAACGCAAGUUGCGCCCGAUGCCUUCGGGCUGAGGGCACGUCUGCCUGGGUGUCACUC
rnacentral:rRNA from 1 species